rnacentral:rRNA from 1 species
GGGGAAUAUUGCACAAUGGGGGAAACCCUGAUGCAGCAACGCCGCGUGAAGGAUGAAGGCCCUUGGGUUGUAAACUUCUUUGAUCAGGGAAGAAAGAAAUGACGGUACCUGAAUAACAAGCCACGGCUAACUACGUGCCAGCAGCCGCGGUAAUACGUAGGUGGCAAGCGUUGUCCGGAUUUACUGGGUGUAAAGGGCGUGUAGGCGGAGCUGCAAGUCGGAAGUGAAAUCCCCGGGCUUAACCCGGGAACUGCUUCUGAAACUGCAGGUCUUGAGUACUGGAGAGGAAAGCGGAAUUCCUAGUGUAGCGGUGAAAUGCGUAGAUAUUAGGAGGAACACCAGUGGCGAAGGCGGCUUUCUGGACAGAAACUGACGCUGAGGCGCGAAAGCGUGGGGAGCAAAC